GUGGGGAAUAUUGGGCAAUGGGCGAAAGCCUGACCCAGCAACGCCGCGUGAAGGAAGAAGGCCCUCGGGUUGUAAACUUCUUUGACCAGGGACGAAUAAUGACGGUACCUGGAAAACAAGCCACGGCUAACUACGUGCCAGCAGCCGCGGUAAUACGUAGGUGGCAAGCGUUGUCCGGAUUUACUGGGUGUAAAGGGCGUGCAGGCGGGAAUGCAAGUCAGGCGUGAAAACUAUGGGCUCAACCCAUAGCCUGCGUUUGAAACUGCAUUUCUUGAGUGAUGGAGAGGCAGGCGGAAUUCCUCGUGUAGCGGUGAAAUGCAUAGAUAUGAGGAGGAACACCAGUGGCGAAGGCGGCCUGCUGGACAUUAACUGACGCUGAGGCGCGAAAGCGUGGGGAGCAAACAGGAUUAGAUACCCGGGUAGUCC
rnacentral:rRNA from 1 species